rnacentral:lncRNA from 1 species
UUACUAAUUUUUUAGGUUAAGACAAAAAGGAUAAAAUGUAAUGAAAUAUGUUUUUUUUUCUGUAAAAUGUAAUUAAAUAUCUUCAUCUCUUUAUGAAGAGUCCAUCCAAAGCCGCCACCCUCGAUUUAAAUUACCUUUCACUACUUGAUUUAUCUCCAAAUAUACAUCUCUCUUUCUUUUCUCUCUCUCUCUCUCUCUCUCUCUCUCUCUGUGUAUGUGUGUGUAACACGUGUUUUAUAUAAAAAUUAAGGGCCCAAAACUUGCUAGUUGCGAGAUACAACAAU